GGAGAGGUGGCCGAGUGGCUGAAGGCACUCGCCUGCUAAGCGAGUAAGGGGUGCAAGCUCCUUCGCGGGUUCGAAUCCCGCCCUCUCCG
rnacentral:tRNA from 2 species